UAGUAAUGGUGAGGACAACUAAUAAGCAGAGAUUUCAACCUGUCCCAGGCUUGAUAUAAAUUUUCACCCGACUUUUGUUUAAAUCUUAGAAUUUCGGCUCUUAGCUU